rnacentral:rRNA from 1 species
UCUAACGAGGUAGCAAUACCAGCGUGCACAGGUGCUGCAUGGCUGUCGUCAGCUCGUGUCGUGAGAUGUUGGGUUAAGUCCCGCAACGAGCGCAACCCUUGUGUCCUGUUGCCACCCGGCCGAGAGGCUGGAGCACUCUGGACAGACUGCCUCGCUUAAACGAGGAGGAAAGUGGGGAUGACGUCAAGUCAGUAUGGCCCUUACGGCCAGGGCUGCACACGUACUACAAUGGCCGGUACAAAGGGAAGCGAGACCGUCAGGUGGAGCAAAUCCCCAAAAACCGGCCCCAGUUCAGAUUGUCGUCUGCAACUCGACGGCAUGAAGUUGGAAUCGCUAGUAAUGGCGCAUCAGCUACGGCGCCGUGAAUACGUUCCCAGGCCUUGUACACACCGCCCGUCACAUCAUGAAAGCCGUUUGUACCCGAAGUCGCCCCUCAAAAGGUGCCGAAGGUAUGGAUGGUGAUUGGGGUGAAGUCGUAACAAGGUAGCCGUAGGGGAACC